rnacentral:rRNA from 1 species
UACAGAGGUCCCAAGCGUUGUCCGGAAUCAUUGGGCGUAAAGAGCGCGUAGGCGGUCCGGUAAGUCCGCUCUGAAAGUCCGGGGCUCAACCUCGAGACGUCGGUUGAAACCGUAAGGCUAGAGUCCGGAAGAGGAGAGUGGAAUUCCCGGUGUAGCGGUGAAAUGCGCAGAUAUCGGGAAGAACACCCGUGGCGAAGGCGGCUCUCUGGGACGGUACUGACGCUGAGACGCGAAAGCGUGGGGAGCGAACAGG